CACGUAGGGGGCGAGCGUUGUCCGGAUUUAUUGGGCGUAAAGAGCUCGUAGGCGGUUCGGCAAGUCGGGUGUGAAAUUUCGAGGCUCAACCUCGAAACGCCACUCGAUACUGCUGUGACUGGAGUCCGGUAGAGGAGUGCGGAAUUCCUGGUGUAGCGGUGAAAUGCGCAGAUAUCAGGAGGAACACCGGUGGCGAAGGCGGAUCUCUGGGCCUUGCCUGACGCUGAGGCGCGAAAGCUAGGGGAGCGAACAGGA
rnacentral:rRNA from 1 species